CCGUAGCCCAAGAGAUCGGGAUAACACCUGGAAACAGAUGCUAAUACCGGAUAACAACAGAUGAUGCCUAUCAACUGUUUAAAAGAUAGGUUCUGCUAUCACUCUUGGAUGGACCUGCGGUGCAUUAGCUAGUUGGUAGGGUAACGGCCUACCAAGGCGAUGAUGCAUAGCCGAGUUGAGAGACUGAUCGGCCACAUUGGGACUGAGACACGGCCCAAACUCCUACGGGAGGCAGCAGC
rnacentral:rRNA from 1 species